AACGAACGCUGGCGGCGCGUUUUAAGCAUGCAAGUCGAGCGGCGAGGGGGCUUCGGUCCCCGAGAGCGGCGGACGGGUGAGUAACACGUGGGCAACCUGCCUUGAAGUGGGGGAUAACACCGGGAAAUCGGUGCUAAUACCGCAUAACAUACACAAACUGCAUGGUGAGUGUAUCAAAGGAGCAAUCCGCUUUAAGAUGGGCCCGCGGCUGAUUAGCUAGUUGGUGAGGUAACGGCUCACCAAGGCCACGAUGCGUAGCCGACCUGAGAGGGUGACCGGCCACAUUGGGACUGAGACACGGCCCAGACUCCUACGGGAGGCAGCAGUGGGGAAUAUUGCACAAUGGGGGAAACCCUGAUGCAGCAACGCCGCGUGAGUGAAGAAGGUCUUCGGAUCGUAAAGCUCUGUCUUUGGGGACGAUAAUGACGGUACCCAAAGAGGAAGCCACGGCUAACUACGUG
rnacentral:rRNA from 1 species